rnacentral:rRNA from 1 species
AACGAACGCUGGCGGCAUGCCUAACACAUGCAAGUCGAACGAGACCUUCGGGUCUAGUGGCGCACGGGUGCGUAACGCGUGGGAACCUGCCCUUAGGUUCGGAAUAACUCCCCGAAAGGGGUGCUAAUACCGGAUAAUGUCUUCGGACCAAAGAUUUAUCGCCUUUGGAUGGGCCCGCGUUGGAUUAGCUAGUUGGUAGGGUAAAAGCCUACCAAGGCGAGGAUGGGUAGCUGGUCUGAGAGGAUGAUCAGCCACACUGGGACGGAGAGACGGCCCAGACACCUGCGGGAGGGACCAGUGCCGAAUUUUUGACAAGGGGCGCAAGGGGGAAAUAGCGACGCCGGGCGAAGGCUGAAGCCCUCCAGGUCGUAGAAUGCUUUAGGGCUUUAGGAAUAGAAUUCUUUUUAUCCGGGAGGGUCAUGACGGUACCGGAAGAAUAAGCACCGGCUAACUACGUG